GCUAUGCGUUUUAAUUUUUAACUCUAUUUAUUGUGAUGUCCUAAUGUUUUUGAUUUAUUUUUUAAGUUAUUUUUGUAAAAUGUUUUAAUUUGUUUUUUUUUCUUAGGGUGUUAAAAGUUUGUUUUUUGAACUGGAUUAGUACCCAGGUAAUCAAAAUUAAUUAAUUCGGGAGUAAAGUUUUGUUUAAACCGAAAAAAUAUUGACUGACUUUAGAUUUUUCUUUGGAACAUGUGUUUUUUGGAGAGCCCUCCUUUUUAGUUAUUUUUAUCGGCACAUGUAUGAUUGUUUAGUUUUUAUUUUAUUUUGUAAUGCUUUUUUUGUUUUUUACAUUUAAAACAGAUAUAUAUUUGGCUUAUGAAUUUAUUUUUCAUGUGUUACUAUUAUGAAUUGUUUUGGAUUGAUUUUUUAUUUUUUUUUUGAAAUUGGAAAAGAAAGUAAUUUUUUUUUGAUGUUAUAGUGAAUUAAAUAAAUAAAGUGGUACAAACCA
rnacentral:rRNA from 1 species